AACAAGCCUAGAGGAGCAAUCUACUUCUAUCUAACCCAAAUAAAUCUCAACGGUCUCCUUUAGCUUUGGUUCCACCGUCAUCACCUCCUGCGAAAUACUCACAGCAACGCCUACACAGAGCCGCCAGAACCCCCUGCAUCACCAUCUACACCAGCAGCCAAACGCAUUCAUACACCCCCGAUGAGAUGUUUUAUGUAGAAAAGCAUGUACAGCCAAGAAAGAGGAGUAUAGAAAAAGAUGUUGGUGAAGGAAUUGGGUGAUUCCACCUUCAAUCUUCCAGAGGAGGUACUGCAAGUUCUACGUUUCGAUCCAUUUGACCAAUUCGACGUAGCCUGCAAAAUCACUUCCAUUGCUCUCUCAACACGUAUCUCCUCUCUUGAAUCUAAGUCCUCCACUCUACGCUCUCAAAUUGUCGAGAAAGAUGAGCUCAUUGCUGGCCUUGUAAAGAUCCCCACCUGCUUUCUCCUUUUUCUUUAUUCUCG
rnacentral:misc_RNA from 1 species